rnacentral:tRNA from 1 species
GGAGGAGUGGCCGAGCGGUCGAAGGCGGCGGUCUUGAAAACCGCAGUGGCGCCAGCCACCGGGGGUUCGAAUCCCUCCUCCUCCGCCA